rnacentral:rRNA from 1 species
UGGGAAACUGCCUGAUGGAGGGGGAUAACUACUGGAAACGGUAGCUAAUACCGCAUAACGUCGCAAGACCAAAGAGGGGGACCUUCGGGCCUCUUGCCAUCGGAUGUGCCCAGAUGGGAUUAGCUAGUAGGUGGGGUAACGGCUCACCUAGGCGACGAUCCCUAGCUGGUCUGAGAGGAUGACCAGCCACACUGGAACUGAGACACGGUCCAGACUCCUACGGGAGGCAGCAGUGGGGAAUAUUGCACAAUGGGCGCAAGCCUGAUGCAGCCAUGCCGCGUGUAUGAAGAAGGCCUUCGGGUUGUAAAGUACUUUCAGCGGGGAGGAAGGGAGUAAAGUUAAUACCUUUGCUCAUUGACGUUACCCGCAGAAGAAGCACCGGCUAACUCCGUGCCAGCAGCCGCGGUAAUACGGAGGGUGCAAGCGUUAAUCGGAAUUACUGGGCGUAAAG